rfam:Nomascus leucogenys chromosome 6, whole genome shotgun sequence.
AUCCUCUUGUAGUUCAUGAGCUGAUAAUUAGUUGUUCACAUACAUGUGUGAGAUGUGCCACCCUGGAACCUUGUUACAACGUUGGCACAUUACCCAUUUGACA